UACGUAGGGUGCAAGCGUUAAUCGGAAUUACUGGGCGUAAAGCGUGCGCAGGCGGUAAUGUAAGACAGAUGUGAAAUCCCCGGGCUCAACCUGGGAACUGCAUUUGUGACUGCAUUGCUGGAGUGCGGCAGAGGGGGAUGGAAUUCCGCGUGUAGCAGUGAAAUGCGUAGAUAUGCGGAGGAACACCGAUGGCGAAGGCAAUCCCCUGGGCCUGCACUGACACUCAUGGACGAAAGCUAGGGGAGCGAAUGGG
rnacentral:rRNA from 1 species